rnacentral:misc_RNA from 1 species
GAUGAAGAACGUAGCGAAAUGCGAUAAGUAAUGUGAAUUGCAGAAUUCAGUGAAUCAUCGAAUCUUUGAACGCACCUUGCGCCCUUUGGCUAUUCCGAUGGGCAUGCCUGUUUGAGUAUCGUGAACACCUCAACUCUCAUGGUUUGCCAUGAUGAGCUUGGACUUUGGGGGUUUUGCUGGCCUUUGGUCGGCUCCUCUCAAACGGAUCAGCUUUCCAGUGUUUGGUGGCGUCACGGGUGUGAUAACUAUCUACGCCUGUGGUUUUCUGCCAGAUAACCUUCAGCGAUGGAGGUUCGCUGGGGCUCAUAAAUGUCUCUCUUCAGUGGAGACAGCUUUUUGGACGUUUGAUCUCAAAUCAGGUAGGACUACCCGCUGAACUUAAGCAUAUCAAUAAGCGGAGGA